GACGUAGGGGGCGAGCGUUGUCCGGAUUCAUUGGGCGUAAAGCGCGCGUAGGCGGCCCGGUAAGUCGGGUGUGAAAUCCUGAGGCUCAACCUCAGGACUGCACUCGAUACUGUCGGGCUAGAGGUAGGUAGGGGAGAUCGGAAUUCCUGGUGUAGCGGUGAAAUGCGCAGAUAUCAGGAGGAACACCGGUGGCGAAGGCGGAUCUCUGGGCCUUACCUGACGCUCAGGCGCGAAAGCUAGGGGAGCAAACAGGAUUAGAAACCCCCGUAGUCC
rnacentral:rRNA from 1 species